rnacentral:lncRNA from 1 species
AUGGAACCAGGCAAUGAUACACAAAUUUCAGAAUUUAUUCUCCUGGGAUUGUCAGAGGAACCAGAGCUGCAGCCCCUCAUAUUUGGACUUUUCCUCUCCAUGUACCUGAUCACUGUGUUUGGAAACCUGCUCAUCAUCCUGGCUGUCAGUUCAGACCCCCACCUCCACACCCCCAUGUACUUCUUCCUCUCCAACCUGUCCUUUGUAGACAUCUGUUUCAUCUCUACCACUGUCCCAAAGAUGUUGUGGAACCUCCAGACUCAGAGCAAAGUUAUAACCUAUGAAGGCUGCAUCACACAAAUUUAUUUUUUCCUACUCUCUGCAGUGUUGGACAUCUUCCUCCUGACAGUGAUGGCCGCCUAUGACCGCUUUGUGGCCAUCUGUCACCCGCUGCACUACACAAUCAUCAUGAAUCCCUGGCUCUGUGGACUACUGGUCCUGGUGUCUUGGAUCAUGUGUAUUCUGAAUUCCUUGUUACAAAGCUUAAUGGUGUUGCGGCUUUCCUUUUGCACUAAUGUGGAAAUCCCCCACUUUUUUUGUGACCUCAGUCAGAUGACCCAACUUGCCUGUUCUGACAACUUUCUUAAUUACAUGGUGAUUUAUUUUACAGCUGUCCUUCUAGGUAGUGGUGCCCUGAUUGGUAUCCUUUACUCUUACUCAAAGAUUGUUUCCUCCAUACGUAGAGUCACGUCAACUCAAGGGAAGUAUAAAGCAUUUUCCACCUGUGCAUCUCACCUCUCAGUUGUCUCCUUAUUUUUUUCUACAAGCCUAGGGGUGUACUUUAGCUCUGCUGCUACCCAGAGCUCACACUCAAGUGCAACAGCCUCAGUGAUGCACACUGUGGUCACACCCAUGCUGAACCCCUUCAUCUACAGUCUGAGGAACAAAGACAUAAAGGGGGCUCUGAAAAGACUCUUUGUGACGGUGAGUCCAAAAAGGCAAAUAAUUCUGGGCCUGGAGAAAUGCCCAUCAUUGCGGGGCUCAAUGACUCAGAGUCAGCUGUUGUGA